rnacentral:rRNA from 1 species
CCUACGGGUGGCAGCAGUGAGGAAUAUUGGUCAAUGGCCGGAAGGCUGAACCAGCCAUGCAGCGUGAAGGUCAAUUCCCUAUGGGCUUUAAACUUCUUUUGUUCUGGAGCCAUAGUGGUCACGUUUGACCAGCCGAGAUUACCGUACGAAUAAACAUCGGCUAACUCCGUACCAGCAGCCGCGGUAAUACGGGGGAUGCAGGCGUUAUCCGGGUUUAUUGGGUUUAAAGGGUGGGUAGGCUGGGAGGUAAGUCAGCUGGGAAAUGCCUCCGCGCCACGGGUUGAAGUGCCAUUGAUACUGCCUUGCUGGAAUGCGGAUGACGUGGGAGGAAGGUGUGGUGUAGCGGUGAAAUGCAUAGAUAUCACACAGAACACCGAUUGCGAAGGCAUCUCACGAAUCCGCGAUUGACGCUGAUGCACGAAAGCGUGGGUAUCAAACAGGAUUAGAUACCCUUGUAGUC